AAUAUUUUAGGUUAAAGAAACCAGUAGCCUUCAAAGCUUCUAUUAGAUUUAGAAUCUAAAUAUUA
rnacentral:tRNA from 1 species